GGGGAAUAUUGCACAAUGGAGGAAACUCUGAUGCAGCAACGCCGCGUGGAGGAUGACGCAUUUCGGUGUGUAAACUCCUUUUAUAAGGGAAGAUAAUGACGGUACCUUAUGAAUAAGCACCGGCUAACUCCGUGCCAGCAGCCGCGGUAAUACGGAGGGUGCAAGCGUUACUCGGAAUCACUGGGCGUAAAGGAUGCGUAGGCUGGAAAUCAAGUCGAGAGUGAAAUCCAACGGCUCAACCGUUGAACUGCUCUCGAAACUGGUUACCUAGAAUAUGGGAGAGGUAGAUGGAAUUGGUGGUGUAGGGGUAAAAUCCGUAGAUAUCACCAGGAAUACCGAUUGCGAAGGCAGCUCACAAAGCUAAUAUUGACGCUGAUGCACGAAAGUGUGGGGAUCAAAC
rnacentral:rRNA from 1 species